rnacentral:rRNA from 1 species
GGGUGAGUAAUGCAUCGGAACGUGUCCUCUUGUGGGGGAUAACCAGUCGAAAGAUUGGCUAAUACCGCAUGAGCUCGAGAGAGGAAAGCAGGGAACCCGCAAGGCCUUGCGCGAGUGGAGCGGCCGAUGCCGGAUUAGCUAGUUGGUGGGGUAAUGGCCCACCAAGGCGACGAUCCGUAGCUGGUCUGAGAGGACGACCAGCCACACUGGGACUGAGACACGGCCCAGACUCCUACGGGAGGCAGCAGUGGGGAAUUUUGGACAAUGGGCGCAAGCCUGAUCCAGCCAUGCCGCGUGUGUGAAGAAGGCCUUCGGGUUGUAAAGCACUUUCGGACGGAACGAAAUCGCGCG